AAACCGCUCAGAGGUAAACGGGUGGUUCCGCAAAAGUCAGCCCGUGGAAUUCAGCGCGGCGGAGCUUGGGCUUGCUGCGGGUCAGGGAUCCUCGUGACCCUCCCGCGGCUGUCGACCGGGCUUUGCCGCGUGCACUUUCUGCGGGCGGAGCGCCACGAUCGGUUUCUGGGCGGCGAUUAGCCCUGCAUGUCGCGUGGCACGAUCUUCGGGUCGUGCUUCGGGCGGCGGAGAUGAGCUGCUCGGGGACCGAGGAACGGCCGUUCGCUUCGAGGCCCGCCGGCCUCGCGGGGGAGUUCGACUGACGGGGACUGGGUCAACCGUGCCUGUCGACCGCUCCUCUGCGCUGGAUCGGCGCGGCCGGGCGAGCAUGGGGUCAGUGGCGAGUCUGUCGGCCCACCACCCGACCCGUCUUGAAACACGGACCAAGGAGUCUAACAUGCGCGCGAGUCAUUGGGCGUUACGAAACCCAAAGGCGCAGUGAAAGCAAGGGCCUUCCUCGAGUUGGCCUAGGUGGGAUCCCUCUGGCUCUCGAGGCCGGGAGGCGCACCACCGGCCCGUCCCGUCUGCGUCGUCAGUGGGGCGGAGCUAGAGCGCGCACGCUGGGACCCGAAAGAUGGUGAACUAUGCCUGAGUAGAACGAAGCCAGAGGAAACUCUGGUGGAAGUCCGUAGCGAUUCUGACGUGCAAAUCGAUCGUCAAACUUUGGUAUAGGGGCGAAAGACUAAUCGAACCAUUUAGUAGCUGGUUCCCUC
rnacentral:rRNA from 1 species